rnacentral:piRNA from 2 species
UAUGUAUACUCUGCUUGGUGAUCGC